rnacentral:tRNA from 1 species
ACCUGGGUAGCUCAGUGGUUGAGCACCUGACUUCAGCUCAGGGCAUGAUCCUGGAGUCCCAGGAUUGAGUCCUGCAUCAGGCU